GAGCGACAAUAAAUAGUUCUGGCCUUAUGCAAGUCAGCGCCUUGCUGGCAACACUUUCGAAUUGCGGGAAACCCCUAAGAGCCUUUUACACCAAACCAGCUUGGGAAACCUUCUGGCGGCCCGUGGGAAACUACGGGGUAUGGUAACAGUUAAAGGGAUGAGUUGGCACUCAUAGUGCUAAUGAAAUGGGCAAUCCGCAGCGAAGCCCCUUUUGUUCAUGGCAACUGAGUGACUUGUUACUGCAGUAACCAAACAUGGGGAACGUUCACAGACUAAGUGGAAGUGGGUGGAGUUUAGGCUCUGCUUAAGAUAUAGUCGGGCCCCUUUGGAAACUCUGGGGAUCAAGCUGUUCCGUAGGUGAACCUGCGGAAGGAUCAUUA
rnacentral:ncRNA from 1 species